GACGGUAGGCUGGUCUGAGAGGACGACCAGCCACACUGGAACUGAGACACGGUCCAGACACCUACGGGUGGCAGCAGUCGAGAAUCUUUCACAAUGGGGGCAACCCUGAUGGAGCGACGCCGCGUGGAGGAUAAGGUCUUCGGAUUGUAAACUCCUGUCAUGUGUGAACAAGGUUGCGGGGCUAAUACCUUUGCAAAAUUGAUGGUAACACAAGAGGAAGAGACGGCUAACUCUGUGCCAGCAGCCGCGGUAAUACAGAGGUCUCAAGCGUUGUUCGGAAUCACUGGGGCGUAAAGGGUGCGUAGGUGGCGUGGUAAGUCAGAUGUGAAAGCCCCGGGGCUCAACCUCGGAAUUGCAUCCGAUACUGCCAUGCUCGAGUACUGAAGAGGUGACUAGAAUUCUAGGUGUAGCAGUGAAAUGCGUAGAUAUCUAGAGGAAUACCAAAGGCGAAGGCAGGUCACUGGGCAGUUACUGACACUGAGGCACGAAGGCCAGGGGGAG
rnacentral:rRNA from 1 species